rnacentral:rRNA from 1 species
GGGGAAUAUUGCACAAUGGGCGAAAGCCUGAUGCAGCAACGCCGCGUGAGGGAUGACGGCCUUCGGGUUGUAAACCUCUUUUAGUGGGGAAGAAGCGAAAGUGACGGUACUCACAGAAAAAGCACCGGCUAACUACGUGCCAGCAGCCGCGGUAAUACGUAGGGUGCAAGCGUUGUCCGGAAUUAUUGGGCGUAAAGAGCUCGUAGGCGGUUUGUCGCGUCUGCUGUGAAAUCCCGAGGCUCAACCUCGGGCGUGCAGUGGGUACGGGCAGGCUAGAGUGCGGUAGGGGAGAUUGGAAUUCCUGGUGUAGCGGUGGAAUGCGCAGAUAUCAGGAGGAACACCGAUGGCGAAGGCAGAUCUCUGGGCCGCUACUGACGCUGAGGAGCGAAAGCAUGGGGAGCGAAC